AUGAAUGUGUUCAGUUUCGCCCUGGCGCCGACGGACCCGGCCCAGCGCGAGCAGCAGCUGCAGCAGGAGCUUCUGGCCCUCAAGCAGAAACAGCAGAUACAGAGGCAGAUCCUGAUCGCAGAGUUUCAGCGGCAGCACGAGCAGCUCUCACGCCAGCAUGAAGCGCAGCUGCAGGAGCACGUCAAGCAUCAGCAGGACCUCCUGGCCCUGAAACAUCAGCAGGAGCUCCUGGAACACCAGCGGAAGUUGGAGCGCCAUCGUCAGGAGCAGGAGCUGGAGAAACAGCAGCGGGAACAGAAGCUCCAGUUACUCAAAAACAAAGAACGCGGCCAAGAGAGCGCUGUGGCGAGCACUGAGGUGAAGAUGAGGUUGCAGGAGUUCGUCCUCAACAAGAAGAAAGCGCUGGCCCAGAGGAGCCUCAACCACUGCCUGCCCAACGACCCGCGCUACUGGUACGGGAAAACCCAGCACAGCUCCCUGGACCAGAGCUCACCGCCUCAGACAGGGAUUUCCACUUACAACCACCCGGUGCUGGGAAUGUACGACCCCAAAGAUGACUUCCCGCUCCGCAAGACGGCAUCUGAGCCCAACCUGAAGCUGCGAUCCAGGCUGAAGCAGAAAGUUACGGAGCGCAGGAGUAGCCCGCUGCUUCGGAGGAAGGAUGGUCCGAUCACCACUGCAAAGAAGCGCUCUCUGGACAUGGCAGAAUCGGCAUGCAGCAGUGCUCCUGGUUCUGGUCCGAGUUCACCCAACAACAGUUCAAACAAUAUUACCAAUGAGAACGGCAUCCCAUCUUUGGUGCACAGACUCACGGGCAGAGAGGGUCCUGUUAGCCAGCUGUCUCUGUACACAUCGCCCUCCCUUCCCAACAUCACCCUGGGCCUGCCAGCCACCGGCCCCUCCAGCGUGGCAUCUGGCCUACAGGAUGGUGACAGAAUGGCUGUGCCAGGCUUGCAGCCAGGAAUACCCAUAACCACUCCGUUCAUGCCAGGAGCCCACCUGCCUUCUUACCUGGCCGCGUCCACCUUAGAGCGGGAGGGUGGCUCAGCACACAACACUCUCCUGCAGCAUAUGGUACAGAACUCCCUGGUCGCAGGCCUGGGGGGCGUGCCCCUGCAGUCGCAUUCCAUCCACAAGCUCCGGCAGCAUCGGCCCCUCGGACGCACGCAGUCGGCCCCCCUGCCCCAGAAUGCCCAGGCGCUGCAGCAGCUGGUGGUUCAACAGCAACACCAGCAGUUCCUGGAAAAACACAAGCAACAGUUCCAGCAGCAGCAGCUUCACAUCAGCAAGGUACACUCACCGGGUGUGGAUCACCUCAGCGCUACACUCGGGGCUUCCGGGAAUACUCCGGGCCGACAGCAUGAGAGCCACCCGGAGGAGACGGAGGAGGAGCUGCGGGAGCACCAGGGCCUGGGCGACUCCACGGAGGCUCUUCCUCACGGGGUCACCAUCAAACAGGAACCUCCGGAUGAGCAGGAUGAAGAGUUCCAGCAGAGAGAGAUGCAACCCGAGGAAGAGCUGCUCUUCAGACAGCAAGCUCUCCUGUUGGAGCAACAGAGGAUCCAUCAGCUGAGGAACUUUCAGGCAUCCAUGGAAGCGGCCGGUCUGUCUGUGACCUUCCCAGGCCAUCGGCCCCUGUCCAGAGCACAAUCAUCCCCGGCCUCUGCGACCUUUCCCAUUGUGGUGCAGGAACCUCCAGCCAAACCGCGCUUUACCACCGGUCUGGUGUACGACACCCUGAUGCAGAAACACCAGUGCAUGUGUGGAAACAGUAACAACCACCCCGAACACGCCGGGCGCAUCCAGAGCAUCUGGUCACGACUGCAGGAGACGGGACUGCGCGGCCAGUGUGAGUGUAUUCGAGGCAGGAAAGCCACUCUGGAGGAGCUACAGACGGUCCACACUGAGCCUCAUGUGCUGCUUUACGGAACCAACCCUCUCAGACAGAAACUGGACAGCUCAGUGACACCCAUGUUCGUGAGACUGCCGUGCGGAGGAAUCGGGGUUGACAGUGACACUAUCUGGAAUGAAGUUCACUCGUCCAGUGCUGCUCGUCUGGCUGUGGGAUCUGUAGUGGAUCUGGUGUUUAAAGUGGCUUCAGGAGAGCUGAGGAACGGCUUUGCUGUGGUGCGACCUCCAGGACAUCACGCUGAGGAGAGCACUCCCAUGGGAUUUUGCUAUUUCAACUCGGUCGCCAUUGCAGCCAAACUCCUGCAGCAGAGACUCAACGUCAGUAAGAUUCUCAUUGUGGACUGGGAUGUUCACCAUGGAAAUGGGACUCAACAGGCCUUCUACAGUGACCCUAAUGUCCUGUAUGUGUCUCUCCAUCGCUACGAUGAUGGGAACUUCUUCCCUGGCAGCGGAGCCCAUGAUGAGGUGGGCAUCGGGCCAGGCAUGGGCUUUAACGUGAACAUGGCCUUCACCGGAGGUCUGGAGCCGCCCAUGGGAGACGCAGACUAUCUGGCAGCAUUCAGGACGGUGGUGAUGCCAAUUGCGAACGAGUUCGCUCCAGACGUGGUGCUGGUUUCUUCAGGCUUCGACGCUGUGGAGGGGCAUCUGCCACCUCUGGGAGGAUACAAGCUCACGGCCAAAUGUAAGUGUUUCGGCUACCUGACCAAGCAGCUGAUGGGACUGGCCGGCGGCCGGCUGGUGCUCGCGCUGGAGGGGGGUCACGACCUCACCGCUAUUUGCGAUGCCUCUGAAGCAUGUGUUUCUGCUUUGCUUGGAAACGAGUUGGACCCUCUUCCUGAAGACGUGCUACAACAGAGGCCGAACCCCAAUGCCAUUCACUCCAUGGAGAAAGUUCUGGAAGUCCACAGUAAAUACUGGCGCUCGCUGCAGAGAUCUGCCUCGACUCUGGGAUACUCACUGCUGGAGGCUCAGAGAUGUGAAACUGAAGAGGCAGAGACGGUGACCGCCAUGGCCUCCCUGUCUGUGGCCAACAAGCACAUGGGAAAGAGGACAGAGGAGGAGCCUAUGGAAGAGGAACCUCCAUUGUAGAAGGUCCGAUCGACUGCCUUGGUGACCUUCUCGGCUCAGAACCUCUUCAAGUCCUCUGAUGUCGCUCUACUCUCUCUAUCCGUUUCAUUUUUUAUCCCACGAUGUGCGCGCUUUGAGCACGGGAUCUGAAACGGCCUGAAGAAAUCUCUGUGACACCCAGAGCGCGACAAACAUCUCAGCCGUGUUAGUCUGUCUCUGUCCGUGGCAGAACGUCCAGGACUGUUAAACCUGGUCUGUCCGCAGGGACGCUUAACUUUUGAGCAGGACAUAGACUCACGUUUCAUUGUUAGAUGUGAGAGCUGGUGCUUUCGACAAGAACUUUUUCAUUAUUUUCCAGAGCCACUAUAUGACUGAUUUCGGCUGUUACGGCCUACGUUUUUUAUUUGUCGUCUCUCUCUGUUCGUUGUGUCUGUCUUUCUUUUAUUCUUGGAGAAACAAUUGACUCGUUCCUUUCGCAAUUCGAGUUACUGCUUCACGAGGGUGGACGAUGUGAUCGGGAGAGCGAUCGAAGGAUUCUGGGAAGCCCGACGGAGAGUCGACAAUGCGAGUUUGUGCCUUUUUCAAAAGAUGGAUCCAGAAGAACAUUGCCUUAAACUAGUUACAGGAGGGAAGACGUUUCGCCGUCUCGGUAUUUCUUGACACGCGACGGUCAAAGGCUGGCCUGAAGAAUCGAGAAACCCUCAGCAUGUUUACCAGGAACUCCCUGCAGAUAUCUUCAUGUUUCACACACAUUAUGACCUGUUUUCUGUUCCUUCAUUUUUACUGGGCUUGUGUUGGACGUUACAUGACUCUAAGUGUCACUGACUAACAAACUUUAAGGUAGUUGCCAGCGAUCCAAGGGCAAAACGUUCGAUUGAAUUCUCCAGCGCUUUAGACGGCAAGCCAAUGUAGCGUCUCGUUUCAACUCUUAAUGACCAAAUACGCACUUCCUCCUUCUCCGAAAAGUUGGUCAGCAUGCAGCUUUCCAUCUGCCAAAUCGUAGUUUAACAGCGCCAACAAG
rnacentral:lncRNA from 1 species